rnacentral:tRNA from 5 species
CCUCUUUAUGGAUAACCAAUCCAUUUUCAAAUAUAGUUGGGAGACUUUUCCCAAGAAAUGG